GGCAUAGCCCAGUGGUAGCGUAUCUGCUUUGCAUACAGAAGGUCCUGGGUUCAGUCCCCAAUAUCUCCA